UCCCUCAGUAACGGCGAGUGACCAGGGAAGAGCCCAACACUGAAGACUGUGGCCAGUUGGCUACUAGUCAAUGUGGUGUUUAGGUUGUUCCGGCGGAGUCGCUGCUCCACCCUAAGUCCAUGAAUGAGUAUGGUAAAUGGACAUGGCCCACAGAGGGUGACAGGCCCGUGGGGGUGGAGGUCAGGCAGGCCAGCGACGCCCUGGAUAGACCUUGGAGUCGGGUUGUUUGUGAUUGCAGCCCAAAGUGGGUGGUAAACUCCAUCUAAGGCUAAAUACUAGCACGAGUCCGAUAGCAAACAAGUACCGUGAGGGAAAGUUGAAAAGUACUUUGAAGAGAGAGUAAACAGUGCGUGAAACCGAUCAGAGGUAAGCGGGUGGAGUUGAACUGCAAGCUCUGAGAAUUCAGCUGGUGAGUGUGGUUUGAGCUUGGUCAAGUCAGUUGGACUCUGUGGUUCGCGAAGCACUUAGCAAGUGUUGCGGGCCAUGGGUGUUCUUCGGGCUGACUCGCCGGUGCACUUUCUCAGAGUGGUCACCACGACCGGCAUCGCUGUCUGGCUGGUGGGGUUAAACCGGUUUUGCAAGGUCCUUGUGGCUCUGCUUGAUCGGGAUGGCAGGUAGCUCGUUGGCUUGCUUGCGAGCCUUCGAGUGUAAUCAGCUGACCACAUCGGUUCUGUGCAGUAUGUCGGAGACGGCGGCUAGUGCGCGUGCGUGCAUAGCUGGUCGGCCUGUCCGGGUUUGGUUGUUACGUGCCUGUUUAUUCAGGCCUGAUGAUGGCUCGGAUUCGUUCGGCUGGCUGUUGCGUGCGUGCACAAUAC
rnacentral:rRNA from 1 species